rnacentral:SRP_RNA from 1 species
UGCUAGGCUCGACCGGGGCGUUCGGCGUGCCCUUAUACACCGAAAUCGUCGACAGCGGGGGUGACAGCUGGGGACGGCGUAACCUGCCCUGCGCGCGCCCUGCACCUGACUAUGAGGCCCUGUCCUGCCGGAUGGGAGGUGGCUCUGCGGCGCAGCCGGAGGGCGGCGCUCUCUGCCUUGGCCGCGGGGAACGGGUCAGGCCCUGACGGGAGCAGCCUCACCGCGGAUUACCCGUGCUGGCGGGGAAACGGGGCCGAGGAGGGUGCGGACAAGCGCGCGCAGGAAUGGGCGACAACCUCAGCAGCCUAGCU